rnacentral:rRNA from 1 species
AAAUACAGAGUGGGAGAAAUGAUAUCGCGUCGGUGGUUAACUAAUACACUUUAAAUCCCUUAACAAGGACCUAUUGGGGGGCAAAUCUGAUGCCAGCAGCUACAGUUACUCCAGCUCCAA